ACUCCUACGGGAGGCAGCAGUGGGGAAUUUUGCGCAAUGGGGGAAACCCUGACGCAGCAACGCCGCGUGAGUGAUGAAGGCCUUCGGGUCGUAAAGCUCUGACAGAGGGGAAGAAAUGCAGUCAUGUUAAUAUCAUGGUGGCUUGACGGUACCCUCAAAGGAAGCACCGGCUAACUCCGUGCCAGCAGCCGCGGUAAUACGGAGGGUGCAAGCGUUGUUCGGAAUUAUUGGGCGUAAAGCGCGUGCAGGCGGUUUGUCAGGUCCGAUGUGAAAGCCCCGGGCUCAACCUGGGAAGUGCAUUGGAAACCGGCAGACUUGAAUAGGGGAGAGGGUAGUGGAAUUCCUAGUGUAGGAGUGAAAUCCGUAGAUAUUAGGAGGAACACCGGUGGCGAAGGCGGCUACCUGGACCGAUAUUGACGCUGAGACGCGAAAGCGUGGGGAGCAAACAGGAUUAGAUACCCUGGUAGUCCACGCCGUAAACGAUGAGAACUAGGUGUCGCGGGUA
rnacentral:rRNA from 1 species